AGGGGAUGGCCAAGGCCAGCUGCCACCAUCCCUAUACCAGGACCCCCUCACUCUACUCCUGUCACCCCCACACAGGGCACCUUCAGCCUGCGGAAGCUAUGGGCCUUCACGGGGCCUGGCUUCCUCAUGAGCAUUGCUUUCCUGGACCCAGGAAACAUCGAGUCGGAUCUUCAGGCUGGCGCCGUGGCGGGAUUCAAACUUCUCUGGGUGCUGCUCUGGGCCACGGUGUUGGGCUUGCUCUGCCAGCGACUGGCUGCACGUCUGGGCGUGGUGACAGGCAAGGACUUGGGCGAGGUCUGCCAUCUCUACUACCCUAAGGUGCCUCGCACCGUCCUCUGGCUGACCAUCGAGCUAGCCAUUGUGGGUUCCGACAUGCAGGAAGUCAUCGGCACGGCCAUUGCAUUCAAUCUGCUCUCAGCUGGACGGUACCACCCCAGUGUACCCCAACUCUUCAGGCCAAGCAGAGAACAGCUGCUGCUACUUCCCCCCACCCAG
rnacentral:sRNA from 1 species